rnacentral:lncRNA from 10 species
AAAAAUUUUAAUUGUCUGUAUUGUCAAUCUGUUGUUUUUUCUUUUAUGUUUUCUGAGUUUCUUGUGUUAUUUAAGAAGGUCUCCCUAACUAAAUAUUACAUAAAUAUUCUCCUAACUUUUUUUACUUUACCUUUGUAUCUUCUGUAAUUAAAGAUGAAUUAAAUAAGAGUUUAUGUUUGUAUUUUUCAUGUGCUAGGUAAUUAUUCUAGCAUCAUUUAUUAAAUAAGCCAUUACUGAAUUGAAAUGCCACCUUUAUUAUACACUGUAUUAAGUUCUGAUAAAAUCAAUUUCUUUCUUCUCUAUUCUAUUUCACUGAUCUAUUCUCCAAUGUCCUACUUUUUUGAUUACACUAGCUUUAUAGAGAGUUUUAAUAUCCAUUAGGGCAAGAUACUAGUAAGUUAUUACUGGUCUUGUUUUUCAAAGCUUUAUUGGAGAUUAUUAUAGAGUUGAGUUAUUGUUCCUCACACAAAUCUACAGAGAUCCCUAGUUAACAGUUAAAUCUCUUACACAUGUUAAUAUCUCCCUCAGCUCAAGAAGCCAGCUGGGUUCAAGUUUCAACCAAUACUUGAGAGUCUCUUUCUUAUGUUCACCUUGGGAGGCCAGUACCCAGAGCUUCAGCGAGGGGAUGAAGAGGAGAAGGAGGAAGAGGUGAGUUUCUCCAGAAGCCCUCAGCAUAGGCCUAUGGCUGCUCAUAAUUGUACCCCACUGUCCCCAGGAUGGACCUCCCAGGUUCUGAAUACUACCCUAGAAAUGCUGACCACUCUUCAUGGAAUGGCUGAGACAGGAACACCUAGUGCCUGGGAAUUCCAAGUAUGUGGCAACAUGCGUGUUUGGAGCCAGACUUCUGAGAAGAUGCCCUCAAUCACCCACAGCCUCUUUACGAGUUUUCCCCUCCAAUGUGACUUCAGUUAUUAAGAUGUCCCAAGUGAUUAGACUCACCAGCAGCCUCCUAAAUACUCAGCCAAGGAAACCUGAUAUGCUUGGGAGAGGCUAUUCGGGGGAGAAUACUUGGCAGUGGUAAAAGAAGCCUUAUGUCUGCAGAACUUUAUUCACUUCUCAGAAGUCCUUUGACUCUAUGAUAUGAGGAAGUCACUCUAAAUCUCUUUGUCUCUCUCUAACUGCAGAGGCAACAGUACCUCAUUACAGGAACUCUGUGUGAAAAAUAUUACAAAAUAUUAACAAAAUGCUUUGAAUUUCUUGUGUAUUUCACCACAUUAGAUCUAGCAAACUACCAUCCCUCACCUAGGGCAGAGAAUUGUUAAGUGUGGUGAAGUCAGCCAGAGGGCAGCCUCAGGCAAGUCCUUGUGAACUUACUAAGGCAGGGAGGGGCAAGGACAGGGGCAGGUUUGGGGUUGGUACAAACCCCUCCCUCUGGGCCUAUUCCAGGAAUCCAGGAAUAUUUCUCUAGCAACCUAUUAUUAUUAUUAUUUUGAGACGCAGUCUCCCUCUGUCACCCAGGCUAGAGUGCAGUGGCGCUAUCUCGCUCACCGCAGCCUCCGCCUCCCGGGUUCAAGCGAUUCUCAUGCCUCAGCCUCCCCAGGAUCUGGGAUAACAGGCGCCCGCCACCAUGCCCGGCUAAUUUUUGUAUUUUUUGUAGAUGUGGGGUUUUGCCAUGUUGGCCAGGCUGGUCUUGAACUCCUGACCUCAGGUGAUCCACCUGCCUUGGCCUCCCAAAGUGCUGGGAUUACAGGCGCAAGCCUCCACCCCCAGCCUGCAACCCAUUAUUUUAUACAUCGGAGAGCUCAUGAUUUUCCACAAACCAUUUAUUUAUUUCUUUCUUUUUAAGAAUCGGGGUCUCACUCUGUUGCCCAGGCUGGGGUGCAGUAAUGCAGUCAUAGCUCACUGCAGCCUCAAACUCCUGAACUCAAGCAAUCCGCCCACCUCAGCCUCCCCAGUAGCUGGGAUUACAAGUGUGCACACCACCACACCUGGCUCAGAGGCUAUAUUUCUUUCUUUUUUUAAAUAACAACUUUUAUUUGUAUGCAAUUAUAAAUUACAAACUUGUUUUAUUAUUGUUUUUCUUAUUUUUUAAAAAAUUUUAUGUUUAGUAAAGUUACUCCCUUUUAUUUAUUUACCAGCAGUUUGCUCUGACGGAAUAAAUUACAAACUAUUUUUUCGCUUAAUCCUUUUCACCACCAUGUCAGGCACACAGAUUGGUGGAUAUAAGCUCCCAUUUUACAGACAAGAGUGGAAACACAGUACCCAUAUUUAGUGUAAGACAGAGCUGGGAUAUAAGCCUUGGGCUUCCUUAGUCACAACUGCUUUUUUCCAUAACUUUGUAAUACAUCAUUUGAAAGUAAUCUGAUUUCACAAUGUUUUACAGUAUAAGAGUAGCAUCUAUAGCAUCUCUUCUUGGAAGUUUACCUCUGGAGAGAACCAAUCUAAUUACCUCAUAAGCUGGCACAUUUUUAAGGCAGUUACACCUCUAACUUGAUUUCCCAGCUAUGCUUGAGAGUCCCAGGAACCAAAAUUGCAGCCAAACUGAUUUGAAAGGAGCAGGGAAUAGAAUGGUCAAGCAUAUUUCCAAGUUUAACCUAGGCCUGGCACAUCCUCGCCAACUGCUCAGAUGGCAAGUAGGGGGCAACUAAGUGAAGAUAGUAGCAGGAAGACCCACUUGGGGUGGACACUGAUGAAAAACGCAAGCAGUAUCAGACCCACUGCUUUCAGGAUUAAAAUCCCUGGAUGCCCAGUUGCUGGUCUACUAUCUACUAUGUCAUUACCAGCAGGACAAAGGGUAAUACUUAUGGAGACUAGAAUAUGCAAGGAAAACAAUUAAGCUGCCUGCCUGUCUGGGGCCUACAAAGGCAAACAGUGCUAAUUUCAUCCAUGCCAAACAAAGAACAUUGUUCAUUCCUUCCUGAUUUGGGUUUUAAGGAAGAGUUCUGAUCAUCAGAGAAACCAAGUGAUUCUAUCCUGAAGCCCAGGGGGAGAAAUGGUGGGUAUUUCCGAGUUAUGGAUGGUGCAGGGGGUAACACUACGCCACCAUGAAGGGAAAAAGCUAUCUCGGUAAGCUUUGGUCUUCACAGGACAUGGAGCCAGAGUAGCAAGAUCAGGGCCUGCGUGACACAUCCUGAUUAAGAGCAGGACUUCCUCACAUAAGGUACACAAGGGUGGGGCGCGGUUGCUCAUGCCUGCAAUCCCAGCAUCCUGGCAGGCCCAAGCAGGUGGACCACCCGAGUUCAGGAGUUCGAGACCAGCCUAGCCAACAUGGUGAAACCUCGUCUCCAUCUCUACUAAAAAUACAGAAAUGAGCUGGGCGCGGUGGCACAUGUUUGCAAUCCUAGCUGCUCGGGAGGCUGAGGCAGGAGAAACGCCCAAACCCAGGAGGUGGAGGCUCAGAGGCUAUAUUUCUUGUUGCUCAAGUUAAUAAGGAGCCAACGGAGUAGAAUAAUGAUAGAGAGGCAACAUAACAUGGUGGCUAAGAAUAUAGAUUUAGGAGCCAGAUGCCCUGAGUUUGACACCCGUCUCUGCCAUGUGACAGCUUUGUGACCUCGGGCAAGUUACUUAACUUCUCUGUGCCUCGGUUUUCUCAUCUGUAUAUUCAGAAUAAUGUUAUGAAGAUUAAGCAAGUUAAUAUUUGUAAAUGGUCUGUUUGGAACAGUGCCUGGAAUAUAGUCAAAUGAAAACAUUGCCCCAAUUCUAACAUUUUUAAUGUUAUAAAAUCUUUCUUGGAAAUAAUUAGGUAAGAUAUGACAAAGGAUUGUUUGAGAAGAUAGCCUUCUUGUCUCUAUAGCAUAAAGAAUGUGGCGAUGUGGAAAAUAAAAUAUAAACAUAGCAAAAAUAAAACUAGGGAGGCCAGGCACAACAGCUCACACCUGUAAUUCCAGCACUUUGGGAGGCCAAGACGGGUGGAUCACUUGAGGUCAGGAGUUCAAGACCAGCCUGGCCAACAUGGUGAAACCCCUGUCUCUACUAAACCCCCAUCUCUACUAAAACUAUGAAAAUUAGCCAGGCAAGGUGGUGCACACCUGUAAUCCCAGCUACUCAGGAAGCUGAGGCACGAGAAUUGCUUGAACCUGGGAAGUGGAGGUUGCAAUGAGCCGAGAUCACGCCAUUUGCACUCCAGCCUAGGCAACAGAGUGAGACUCCGUCUCAAAAAAAAUUAGGGAGCCCCCAGGCAGACCAUCAAAAUUACCCUGCUGGCAAGACUUCACACUGUGAAACAGUAACUCACUGAUAGUUAUGCUGUCUAUAACUGAAAGGAAGGAAGAAUGAGAGGGAAGGAGGGAGGGAAGGAAGAAGGAAGGCAGAGGUAGAGGGAAAGGAGGGAGGGAAGGAAGAAGGAAGGCAGAGGUAGAGGGAAAGAAGGGAGAGAAGAAAGAAAGUUCUCCGAGAUUUUCAUUUCCUUUUGAAGAAUAUAGAUCCAAGGUGUUUGGUGAAUUCCUGUUGAAAUUUGGGAAGUGUGCCAGGUUGUAUUUUCCCAAGAUGGCUGCAUCAGUGUGUGUAUCCCAUUCCACGUACUCCACGUACAAUGUAGGGUCUACAUUCCCUCCUCUGACAUCUUGGCAGAGGCUGUGACUGCUCUGACCAAUGGAGUAUAGUGUUAGUCUCAUGUUUUCUGUCCACAUCCAUGAAAGUGUGACAAGUUAUUGUAUUAGCUUGCAAGUAGGAUAAAAUCUUAUAAUCUUAUAAGCCAAACAUUAUGUACAUUGUUGUAAUUUGCACCUUUAAAGGUGAAUGUAUUUUUGUUUUGCAUUUUGGUCAUUUGUAGUUAUCUGGGAGUUGCCUGUUUUAUUCUUUGUCCCCUCUCAUGUAUAUACAGUUGGCCCUUGGUAUCUGCAUGGUAGAUGUUCAAGUCCCUGAGAUAAAAUGGUGUUGUAUUUGCAUAUAACCUACAACAUCCUCCUGUAUACUUUAAAUCAUCUCUAGGUUACUUAAAAUAUCUAAUACAAUGUAAUGCUAUGUAAAUAGUUGUUAUACUGUAUUGGUUUUUAAUUUGUCUUCUUUUUAUUGUUGUAUUGCUAUUUUUUGUUGGUUUUUUUUUCCAAUUUUUUUUUCCAAUUUUUUUUUAACCCAAAGUUGGUUGAAUCCACAGAUACAGAACCCACGGAUAGGGAGGGCCUACUGUAUAUUUAUUAAUUGAUUUGUAGGAACCAUUUAUAUGGUAAAGGUAUUAGCUCCUUGUCUAUCAUAGUUCUUAAAUGCUCAUUUGUCUUUUAAAAUGAUUAGUGGUGUUUCUUUUCCUCCAAAUUUUCUAAAUAGAAAAUACCUUUACACCUAGUGAUGGCAAACAAAAGCAUCUGAUAUUAGCGUACACCAUAUAUGCAAAAAGAGCUGGAGGAACAAAAGCCUCAAGGGAAGGUUGCCCUGGGUGAUGCUCUUUGUACAUUUCUAUACAUUUCAGAUUUACUAAAAUAAAUAACUUUUUUUUUUUUGAGACAGAGUUUUGCAC